CAGUAACGGCGAGUGAAGCGGCAACAGCUCAAAUUUGAAAUCUGGCUCCUUCGGGGUCCGAAUUGUAAUUUGCAGAGAGUGCUUCGGGCGAGACCUCGGUCUAAGUCCAUUGGAACAUGGUGUCAUAGAGGGUGAGAAUCCCGUAUGCGACCGUGGCUCGAGCCCAUGUGAAGCCUCUUCGACGAGUCGAGUUGUUUGGGAAUGCAGCUCAAAAUGGGUGGUAAAUUUCAUCUAAAGCUAAAUACUGGCUGGAGACCGAUAGCGCACAAGUAGAGUGAUCGAAAGGUGAAAAGCACUUUGGAAAGAGAGUCAAACAGUACGUGAAAUUGUUGAAAGGGAAGCGCUUGCAACCAGACCUGCCCGUAGGCGAUCAGCCGCUGUUCUCAGCGGUGUACUCGCUCUGCGAUCAGGCCAGCAUCGGUUUCGGCGGUCGGAUAAAGGCCUUGGGAAUGUAGCUUCCCUUCGGGGGAGUCUUAUAGCCCUCGGUGUAAUGCGGCCAGCUGGGACCGAGGACCGCGCUUCGGCUAGGAUGCUGGCGUAAUGGUUGUAAGCGACCCGUCUUGAAACACGGACCAAGGAGUCUAACAUCUAUGCGAGUGUUUGGGUGUCAAACCCAUACGCGGAAUGAAAGUGAACGGAGGUGAGAACCCUUAAGGGCGCAUCAUCGACCGAUCCAGAUGUCUUCGGAUGGAUUUGAGUAUGAGCAUAGCUGUUGGGACCCGAAAGAUGGUGAACUAUGCCUGAAUAGGGUGAAGCCAGAGGAAACUCUGGUGGAGGCUCGCAGCGGUUCUGACGUGCAAAUCGAUCGUCAAAUUUGGGUAUAGGGGCGAAAGACUAAUC
rnacentral:rRNA from 1 species